rnacentral:rRNA from 1 species
UGGGGAAUUUUGGACAAUGGGCGAAAGCCUGAUCCAGCAAUGCCGCGUGUGUGAAGAAGGCCUUCGGGUUGUAAAGCACUUUUGUCCGGAAAGAAAUCCUUGGCUCUAAUACAGUCGGGGGAUGACGGUACCGGAAGAAUAAGCACCGGCUAACUACGUGCCAGCAGCCGCGGUAAUACGUAGGGUGCAAGCGUUAAUCGGAAUUACUGGGCGUAAAGCGUGCGCAGGCGGUUUGCUAAGACCGAUGUGAAAUCCCCGGGCUCAACCUGGGAACUGCAUUGGUGACUGGCAGGCUAGAGUAUGGCAGAGGGGGGUAGAAUUCCACGUGUAGCAGUGAAAUGCGUAGAGAUGUGGAGGAAUACCGAUGGCGAAGGCAGCCCCCUGGGCCAAUACUGACGCUCAUGCACGAAAGCGUGGGGAGCAAACAGGAUUAGAUACCCUGGUAGUCCACGCCCUAAACGAUGUCAACUAGUUGUUGGGGGACUUCAUUUUCCUUAGUAACGUAGCUAACGCGUGAAGUUGACCGCCUGGGGAGUACGGUCGCAAGAUUAAAACUCAAAGGAAUUGACGGGGUCAUA